rnacentral:rRNA from 1 species
AGCGAACGCUGGCGGCAGGCCUAACACAUGCAAGUCGAACGAUCCUUCGGGAUAGUGGCGGACGGGUGAGUAACACGUGGGAACGUGCCCUUUGGUUCGGAACAACUCAGGGAAACUUGAGCUAAUACCGAAUGUGCCCUUCGGGGGAAAGAUUUAUCGCCAUUGGAGCGGCCCGCGUCUGAUUAGCUAGUUGGUGAGGUAAUGGCUCACCAAGGCGACGAUCAGUAGCUGGUCUGAGAGGAUGAUCAGCCACACUGGGACUGAGACACGGCCCAGACUCCUACGGGAGGCGGCAGUGGGGAAUCUUGCGCAAUGGGCGAAAGCCUGACGCAGCCAUGCCGCGUGAAUGAUGAAGGUCUUAGGAUUGUAAAAUUCUCUCACCGGGGACGAUAAUGACGGUACCCGGAGAAGAAGCUCCGGCUAACUUCGUGCCAGCCGCCGCAGUAA